rnacentral:rRNA from 1 species
UGGGGAAUAUUGGACAAUGGACGAAAGCCUGAUCCAGCCAUGCCGCGUGUGUGAAGAAGGUCUUCGGAUUGUAAAGCACUUUAAGUUGGGAGGAAGGGCAGUAAGCGAAUACCUUGCUGUUUUGACGUUACCGACAGAAUAAGCACCGGCUAACUCUGUGCCAGCAGCCGCGGUAAUACAGAGGGUGCAAGCGUUAAUCGGAAUUACUGGGCGUAAAGCGCGCGUAGGUGGUUCGUUAAGUUGAAUGUGAAAGCCCCGGGCUCAACCUUGGAACUGCAUCCAAAACUGGCGAGCUAGAGUAGGGCAGAGGGUGGUGGAAUUUCCUGUGUAGCGGUGAAAUGCGUAGAGAUAGGAAGGAACACCAGUGGCGAAGGCGACCACCUGGGCUCAUACUGACACUGAGGUGCGAAAGCGUGGGGAGCAAACAGG